rnacentral:rRNA from 1 species
UACGUAGGGUGCAAGCGUUGUCCGGAAUUAUUGGGCGUAAAGAGCUCGUAGGCGGUUUGUCGCGUCGGCUGUGAAAACCCGGGGCUCAACCCCGGGCCUGCAGUCGAUACGGGCAAACUAGAGUGUGGUAGGGGAGACUGGAAUUCCUGGUGUAGCGGUGAAAUGCGCAGAUAUCAGGAGGAACACCGAUGGCGAAGGCAGGUCUCUGGGCCACUACUGAC